CUCUUUGAAAAAUGUCUAAACCACGCACAAUCUGAACUGCUUCAUACUCAAUUGAAGAAGAUCAAGUCAUUUAUCAUGUGUAUGUUGAUGUUUCUCAAGAUCGAGUUACGGGUAAUUAUCAAGUAUCAUGACUUGCUACCAUCACAUGCUGGCAAGUCUCAACCGUGGAGAUCACUUCAAACUCAUAUGCAAAUUAUACUAACAUCUAUCGCGAAAUUAAGAGGAUGUGUUCGGCAGAUUGAAAACUUAAACCCAAGUGGUUCAUCAAAGCAAGAUAUUGGAUUGAAGAGAGGACACCGAUGCCGAAACCUAGGUGUAAUUCGAAACUGGAGCAGAUACGUAUCCUGGAAUCUCUCUUCAAUUCUUGGGGGAAAAUUCGUCUCAGGAGGAUAUAAGGUGGAUAAGAAUCAGGCUUGAGGAGUAUGGAGAAGUAGGUGACGCCAACGUCUUUUACUGGUUCCAAAACAGGAAAUCUAGAAGCAAGAACAAGCAGCGCCAGACUUUGGAAUUUAGCGAACAAGCAAAGCAAGAAAAUGGAAAAGAAAGAGGAGAAGAAGCAAAAGACAAAAUUGCCUUCAUCAUUUUAGCCAUUAAAAAUUUCCAACUACUUCUCACCGAUAAUUUGGUCGGAGGGACUGAAA